rnacentral:misc_RNA from 1 species
GCUUGUUAUCACCCAAAUGAUACCCACCACUCUUGUGGGUCAUCGAAACUGAAAACUCCCUGUUCACGAUAACAUUUCCAUUAUCACACAUAUGAUUCACCGUACUAUCCAUCGCCUUAAACCCAUUUGCCUCCACUCCUCCAUCACUAGCAACACCAACCCCAGCACAACCUAAUGGUCUCUUCUUCUUCUUCAUCAUCAUUUUAGUCGGCUUCCAAAGCAAGGGUCUCAUUACCGUCUUCCCCAUUUUCGAAUCCAAACUUGGAUUCCUAAUAUCCUUUGGUACCUCCAAUGAGGAAUCCACCAGGUCUACAUCCAACAAAAGUAUAUCGCGAAAAAUAGGAUAGAAUUGAUCCUGAAAACCAAGGAAAGCGAGAUUAUCAAAAUCUUUGAUGGGAUGGGACGAAAUUAACUCCUCGAAAGCGAUCUUUACACGGUCUAAGAACCAGAGAGACUCAGAUUUCUGGAGCUCUUCAUCGAAAAUGACGAAAUAGGCAAAAGGGUCAUGGAUUGAGAAGGUGUAGGUCUUAUUGCGAAUGGUAUGAGAGAAGGUAGAGUGGUGAGGAGGGGUUUUCUCUAUGCAUUGUUUGGCUAUGGCUUCGAUUCCCGGCUCCUUGGAGGACAAAUACUCCGUAAGGAUCGUGGUUCCUCUUGCAAUGCAAGCAUAGAAGAUGAGAUCUGGAUUCGAAAUCAUCUGAUGGGUUCUUUUGCUUUCUCUUCCUUUUCUUCUCCUUUUCCUUUAUGUAGAAAUCAAGGAAAAGCUAAAAUUCGGAGAGAAAAUGAGAGUUGAAUUGGAAAAGGAGCAAUUUUGCAUUGCAAAUAUGAGAAAUUUUCUCUCUUUUCUUAUUUAUUAAUUGAUUUUUCUCUCAAAUAUUUGAAGUGAUAUUCAAUUUUUAUUGGUUUCUCUCUCUCGAAGUUCUGCAAUUUUCUCUCUCUCUUUAGGGUUUGGAAAUGGAAGAGAGGAACGGAGCCAGGAUUCCUUGGGAGGUAGAAGAAAACUGAAUAACGGCUGCCUCUGUAAAGUUAACCCUUAUUUAACUUUUAAUUACGAAUGUGCCCUUUCGCUCUCAACCCUAGGAUUACCGCGCGUCAAAUUGGUUUCCUUGCGUCGGGGUCCACAUCGACAUCGUUUUGACCCCACCUACUUCAUCAUUUUGCUUCAAUUUUAUAUUUAUGUAAAUUUCUUACCAUAAUUUCUCCUUUUUAUUUGAAAAUUAACAACCAA